UUGAAAAAUAAAAAAAGGGGCUGUUGCUGGUCCUCCAAGGGGGGGGACAACUUGUGCACGCCUUCUUUGUUCUCCUCUCCCACACACCUGUGCACCUUUUGUAGGCUGAGCAAUUGGCCUACGUAUUUUCCAUACACACUUUAUGCUUUGAAUGUAUAUUGCGCUUGAAAUAAAGCAAAUCAUUAUA
rnacentral:misc_RNA from 1 species